UAUAUAUAUAUAUAUAUAUUUUAGAGAAUCCAAAUCCUUUUACCAUGCCUCUGAAUCAACUUUCUCGACCUUGAAACGCUCACGAACGCAAGUAAUGUAGCUUGAAGCCUUUGUAUCAACAUUUUCAUCACCACCAUAGUCAUGGAAGCUUCUCAACUGAGCAGUAGACACCUGGGUUGAUUGGGUAUGGGGAAAAUAAUCCAUGGAGCUAUAAUAUGGGGUAUAUGGGCUAGGACUAACCUUGCUACUAGGUUGAUGAGCACUAGACACCCUUUGGAUUGAUGAAGGAUUUGCAUGGCUUUGGAAACUAGGGAAAUCCACAGAGCCAUUUUGGCUAUAUGGACUUGGACUAGCCUUAUUGCUGCCGCAUUGCCCUGGCAUAGAAGGCUUGGAAUUCACUCUAAGAAAAGUCUUGGUUUUGGCUAGCUUCCCUCUAAAGAACCCUCUUCCCUUAUGACUUGUUGUCUCCAUUUAUUAGAAUAUAGAGAACAGGUGAAGAAAUCAAACAG
rnacentral:misc_RNA from 1 species